CAGUAGCCGCGGGAAUACAGAGGGUGCAAGCGUUAAUCGGAAUUACUGGGCGUAAAGUGCGCGUAGGUGGUUUGUUAAGUUGGAUGUGAAAUCCCCGGGCUCAACCUGGGAACUGCAUCCAAAACUGGCAAGCUAGAGUAUGGUAGAGGGUGGUGGAAUUUCCUGUGUAGCGGUGAAAUGCGUAGAUAUAGGAAGGAACACCAGUGGCGAAGGCGACCACCUGGACUGAUACUGACACUGAGGUGCGAAAGCGUGGGGAGCAAACAGGAUUAGAUACCCCCGUAGUCCCUGUCUCUUAUAA
rnacentral:rRNA from 1 species